AAAUAUGAUCGGUUGAUUCCUCGGCUAGUGUGUCGAUGGAGAGCGAAGCCCACUGUGUGAACCAAUGUAACUUGCAUAGUGGUUUCAACACAGGCAUCUUGAACACAUUGCGGCUGUGGGUUAGCUUGUAACCACGACUGUCCAAAAAACC
rnacentral:rRNA from 1 species